rnacentral:tRNA from 1 species
AAUUCUAUAAUUUAAAUAAAAUAUUAAUUUGCAAAAUUAAAGAUGCAUAAAGCUAGAAUUU